AAUAAGAUCAUUUUUAGUUUUUUGAUACAAUAUUUUGAAUAUUUAUCUUAUUUGAAUUUUUUUACGAUUAAUUUUUUUCUUACUAGAUAAUAAAACAUGAAUAGUGCUUUAUAUGUGACUAAUUUUUUAAAAUUUUUCAAAUAAGACGAAUGGUCAAACGUUCGACACGGAAAAAC
rnacentral:pre_miRNA from 1 species